CCUACGGGGGGCAGCAGUGGGGAAUAUUGGACAAUGGGGGGAACCCUGAUCCAGCCAUGCCGCGUGUGUGAAGAAGGCCCUCGGGUUGUAAAGCACUUUCAGUGAGGAAGAACGCCUGGUGGUUAAUACCCAUCAGGAAAGACAUCACUCACAGAAGAAGCACCGGCUAACUCCGUGCCAGCAGCCGCGGUAAUACGGAGGGUGCGAGCGUUAAUCGGAAUUACUGGGCGUAAAGCGCGCGUAGGUGGCUUGAUAAGCCGGUUGUGAAAGCCCCGGGCUCAACCUGGGAACGGCAUCCGGAACUGUCAAGCUAGAGUGCAGGAGAGGAAGGUAGAAUUCCCGGUGUAGCGGUGAAAUGCGUAGAGCCCGGGAGGAAUACCAGUGGCGAAGGCGGCCUUCUGGACUGACACUGACACUGAGGUGCGAAAGCGUGGGUAGCAAACAGGAUUAGAUACCCCGGUAGUC
rnacentral:rRNA from 1 species